rnacentral:rRNA from 1 species
UACGAAGGGGGCUAGCGUUGUUCGGAUUUACUGGGCGUAAAGCGCACGUAGGCGGACUAUUAAGUCAGGGGUGAAAUCCCGGGGCUCAACCCCGGAACUGCCUUUGAUACUGGUAGUCUUGAGUUCGAGAGAGGUGAGUUGGAAUUCCGAGUGUAGAGGUGAAAUUUGUAGAUAUUCGGAGGAACACCAGUGGCGAAGGCGGCUCACUGGCUCGAUACUGACGCUGAGGUGCGAAAGCGUGGGGAGCAAACAGG